rnacentral:tRNA from 1 species
CUGUGAUUAGCUCAGCCUGGCCAGAGUCCUCGCCUUGGAAGCGAGUUGUCGAAGGUUCGAAUCCUUCAUCGCAGACCA